UACCAGCACCCCGAGUGGUCGGGACGAUUAUUGGGCCUAAAGCAUCCGUAGCCGGUUUUACAAGUCUUCCGUUAAAUCCACCUGCUUAACAGAUGGGCUGCGGAGGAUACUAUGGAGCUAGGAGGCGGGAGAGGCAAGCGGUACUUAGUGGGUAGGGGUAAAAUCCGUUGAUCCAUUGAAGACUACCAGUGGCGAAGGCGGCUUGCCAGAACGCACUCGACGGUGAGGGAUGAAAGCUGGGGGAGCAAACCGG
rnacentral:rRNA from 1 species